rnacentral:rRNA from 1 species
UAACGCGAAAGACCUUACCAGGCCUUGACAUCCAAUGAACUUUCUAGAGAUAGAUUGGUUCCUUCGGGAACAUUGACACGGUGCUGCAUGGCUGUCUCCCUCGUGUCGUGAGAUGUUGGGUUAAGUCCCGUAACGAGCGCAACCCUUGUCCUUAGUUACCACCACGUAAUGGUGGGCACUCUAAGGAGACUGCCGGUGACAAACCGAAGGAAGGGGGGGAUGACGUCAAGUCAUCAUGGCCCUUACGGCCUGGGCUACACACGUGCUACAAUGGUCGGUACAAAGGGUUGCCAACCCGCGAGGUGGAGCUAAUCCCAAAAAACCGAUCGUAGUCCGGAUCGCAGUCUGCAACUCGACUGCGUGAAGUCGGAAUCGCUAGUAAUCCCGAAUCACAAUGUCGCGGUGAAUACGUUCCCGGGUCUUGUACACACCG